CUACAAACAAUUAAGCCAACCAUGCUCUUUUCCCCAUGGGAGCCCAGUGUGCAAUGAUUGUUGUUGCUUAUAUGGGUUGCCCUAAAGGACCUUGGAGACAACC